UACGGGGGGGGCAAGCGUUGUUCGGAAUUACUGGGCGUAAAGGGCUCGUAGGCGGCCAACUAAGUCGGAUGUGAAAUCCCCAGGCUUAACCUGGGAACUGCAUCCGAUACUGGAUGGCUUGAAUCCGGGAGAGGGAUGCAGAAUUCCAGGUGUAGCGGUGAAAUGCGUAGAUAUCAGGAAGAACACCCGUGGCGAAGGCGGUUCUCUGGGACGGUACUGACGCUGAGACGCGAAAGCGUGGGGAGCGAACAGG
rnacentral:rRNA from 1 species